UAAGGAAUAUUGCUCAAUGGGAGAAAUCCUGAAGCAGCAACGCCGCGUGGAGGAUGAAGGGUUUUUAACUUGUAAACUCCUGUAAAGAAGGAAAAAAUUCCCAUUAGAUGGGAAAUGAUGGUACUUCUGGAGUAAGCCCCGGCUAACUACGUGCCAGCAGCCGCGGUAAUACGUAGGGGGCAAGCGUUGUCCGGAUUUACUGGGUGUAAAGGGUGCUCAGGCGGAUUUGUAAGUCAGAGGUGAAAUCUCACAGCUUAACUGUGAAACUGCCUUUGAUACUGCAAGCCUAGAGUAUGGAAGAGAGUGAUGGAAUAUCUGGUGUAGCAGUGAAAUGCGUAGAUAUCAGAUAGAACACCAAUGGCGAAGGCAGUCACUUGGCCCAUAACUGACGCUAAAGCACGAAAGCGUGGGUAGCAAAACAGGAUUAGAUACCCUGGUAGUCCACGCCCUAAACGAUGAAUACUAGAUGUUGGCUUCGCAUGAAGUCAGUAUCUGAGCUAACGCAUUAAGUAUUCCACCUGGGAAGUACGAUCGCAAGGUUGAAACUCAAAUGAAUUGACGGGGUUAUAGCUGUUUCCUG
rnacentral:rRNA from 1 species